rnacentral:rRNA from 1 species
UUUAUCGGAGAGUUUGAUCCUGGCUCAGGACGAACGCUGGCGGCGUGCCUAAUACAUGCAAGUCGAGCGGACAGAUGGGAGCUUGCUCCCUGAUGUCAGCGGCGGACGGGUGAGUAACACGUGGGUAACCUGCCUGUAAGACUGGGAUAACUCCGGGAAACCGGGGCUAAUACCGGAUGCUUGUUUGAACCGCAUGGUUCAAACAUAAAAGGUGGCUUCGGCUA